rnacentral:misc_RNA from 1 species
UCUUUUACCAGGCCACUCGUUUGCAUCCGUUUUGCUAAAUAUUCUUGCUCUGUUAGGCUAUUUCACUCAAGAUCCUGAAAAACCAAGUUUGAGCAACCUGUCUCAGCUGAAUUCUGUAAUAAGUUGAUGGAUAACUAAUGCCAACAGAACUCGUGAAUAUAGAAAAGAAAAGAUCAAACACAGGGGAACCGAUAAUAUUAAAUUCAUUUAGCACACAGCGCAUUAUC